rnacentral:rRNA from 1 species
CUGAACCUUCGGGGAACGAUAACGGCGUCGAGCGGCGGACGGGUGAGUAAUGCCUAGGAAAUUGCCCUGAUGUGGGGGAUAACCAUUGGAAACGAUGGCUAAUACCGCAUAAUGCCUACGGGCCAAAGAGGGGGACCUUCGGGCCUCUCGCGUCAGGAUAUGCCUAGGUGGGAUUAGCUAGUUGGUGAGGUAAUGGCUCACCAAGGCGACGAUCCCUAGCUGGUCUGAGAGGAUGAUCAGCCACACUGGAACUGAGACACGGUCCAGACUCCUACGGGAGGCAGCAGUGGGGAAUAUUGCACAAUGGGCGCAAGCCUGAUGCAGCCAUGCCGCGUGUGUGAAGAAGGCCUUCGGGUUGUAAAGCACUUUCAGUCGUGAGGAAGGUGGUGUAGUUAAUAGCUGCAUUACUUGACGUUAGCGACAGAAGAAGCACCGGCUAACUCCGUGCCAGCAGCCGCGGUAAUACGGAGGGUGCGAGCGUUAAUCGGAAUUACUGGGCGUAAAGCGCAUGCAGGUGGUUUGUUAAGUCAGAUGUGAAAGCCCGGGGCUCAACUCGGAAAGCAUUUGAAACUGGCAGACUAGAGUACUGUAGAGGGGGGAGAAUUCAGGUGUAGCGGUGAAAGCGUAGAGAUCUGAAGAAAUACCGGUGGCGAAGGCGGCCCCCUGGACA